CAUCUAUGUGCAAGACAACAUGUUCUGCUUACCCAUAGAACUUUAACGUUGCAUCAGAAAAAAAAAGACAAUUUGCAGAGGGGUCUGCCUCACAGCAAUGCAAGUGUUGGAGCCCUUUGGCAAGCCAUCGCGGUGAAGGCAAGACCAAGCACUCGGCAGGAAAAGCCACUAAAUGGCAUCAGCUGUUCAGCUCCACACGGCCCUGGCAGUGCAGAAGGGAAGGGAGCCGCAGCGCUGGGGGAGCACGCAGCCUGCCCGUGUGCAGCACCAGGGCAGCCGCGGGCAGCAGCGCAGUGUGAAGCUCAAGCCCUGUGGCUCCGCUUGGCCCACAGGAGAGCCAGGCCUCGGUGCGUGCCAGGUGGAGGAAACCCUGCUCAUGCUGGCUCCCUUCCUGCAGGGCGGUCCCCGGGGAAGAUUCUUCCCCUUAUCAGCACGCCUCUCCUCAGAGGGCCAGGCCAACGUGCCCAAGUGCAGGGGCAGGCUGUGAGCACUGAGUUCCCAUACUGCCCAUGGGGAACCUCUCCUGCUCAGGCCACCAUAUGCUACAGAAACUGGCUCUGAGAAAACCUCAAUGAAGCAUUUCCUCUCCCAGAUGCCAAAGGCUAAUUGACCAGCACGAGACCUGCUGAACUUGGUGGAACCGAGGUGGAUAUAAUCACUCAAAAGAGCCAAUAACCAAUUAUCUGAAUGGCUUCAGCAGUUUCAAG
ensembl:lncRNA